CCUACGGGAGGCAGCAGUGGGGAAUAUUGGGCAAUGGACGCAAGUCUGACCCAGCAACGCCGCGUGAAGGAAGAAGGCUUUCGGGUUGUAAACUUCUUUUAAGGGGGAAGAGCAGAAGACGGUACCCCUUGAAUAAGCCACGGCUAACUACGUGCCAGCAGCCGCGGUAAUACGUAGGUGGCAAGCGUUGUCCGGAUUUACUGGGUGUAAAGGGCGUGCAGCCGGAGAGACAAGUCAGAUGUGAAAUCCACGGGCUCAACCCGUGAACUGCAUUUGAAACUGUUUCCCUUGAGUGUCGGAGAGGUAAUCGGAAUUCCUGGUGUAGCGGUGAAAUGCGUAGAUAUAAGGAAGAACCCCAGUGGCGAAGGCAGAUUACUGGACGAUAACUGACGGUGAGGCGCGAAAGCGUGGGGAGCAAACAGGAUUAGAUACCCUUGUAGUC
rnacentral:rRNA from 1 species